UGGGGAAUAUUGCACAAUGGGGGAAACCCUGAUGCAGCGACGCCGCUUGAACGAAGAAGGUAUUCGUAUCGUAAAGUUCUGCCCUAUGGAAAGAUAAUGACAGUACCAUAGAAGAAAGCUCCGGCUAAAUACGUGCCAGCAGCCGCGGUAAUACGUAUGGAGCGAGCGUUGUCCGGAAUUAUUGGGCGUAAAGGGUACGCAGGCGGUUUAAUAAGUCGAAUGUUAAAGAUCGGGGCUCAACCCCGCAAAGCAUUGGAAACUGAUAAACUUGAGUAGUGGAGAGGAAAGUGGAAUUCCUAGUGUAGUGGUGAAAUACGUAGAUAUUAGGAGGAAUACCAGUAGCGAAGGCGACUUUCUGGACACAAACUGACGCUGAGGUACGAAAGCGUGGGGAGCAAACAGG
rnacentral:rRNA from 1 species